rnacentral:piRNA from 1 species
UAUUUAGAUGUUGAUAAUAAA